GCGCGGGCUUCGGCCUGGCGGCGAGUGGCGGACGGGUGAGUAAUGCAUCGGAACGUGCCCAGGAGUGGGGGAUAACGUAGCGAAAGUUACGCUAAUACCGCAUACGUACUGAGGUAGAAAGCGGGGGAUCGAAAGACCUCGCGCUCAUGGAGCGGCCGAUGUCGGAUUAGCUAGUUGGUGGGGUAAAAGCUCACCAAGGCGACGAUCCGUAGCUGGUCUGAGAGGACGACCAGCCACACUGGGACUGAGACACGGCCCAGACUCCUACGGGAGGCAGCAGUGGGGAAUCUUGGACAAUGGGGGAAACCCUGAUCCAGCAAUGCCGCGUGUGGGAUGAAGGCCCUCGGGUUGUAAACCACUUUUGGCAGGAAAGAAAUCGCCUGUGCUAAUACCAUGGGCGGAUGACGGUACCUGCAGAAUAAGCACCGGCUAACUACGUGCCAGCAGCCGCGGUAAUACGUAGGGUGCGAGCGUUAAUCGGAAUUACUGGGCGUAAAGCGUGCGC
rnacentral:rRNA from 1 species